GUGUCGGCUCCUCGCGUGGUGCCAUCCAGGUGAACUCCCCCAGGGCGGAGACGCAGCAAGGGCAGCCGGGCUCUGGCAGGUGCGCGAGGGGUCUUCUCCUUUUA
rnacentral:SRP_RNA from 1 species